UGCUUCCAAUCUAUUGCUAUGGAGGUUAUGGAGGCUAUGGAGCUGGAGGCUAUGGAGCUGUGACAUCACUUUCACUUUGAAGCCGAUGGCUACUACUAACCAUCAGCUUGUCAUUAAAGGUUCACUCUUUGGAUGUACAUAGUAUGCCCAAAGAGUUAAAUUGGGAAUGGUAUUAAAGGAAACCUGUACUUGGUGUGGUGAUAUGCCUUAGAUUUCAUUUAUUAGGGUAAUUUUAUGAAAUGUAUUAUUGUAAUUUUAUUUUUAUUUUUUCUCUUCCAGGACCAUUCUAAAGAAAAACCUUACAAAAAGGACCAUUCUAAAGAAAAAUCUUCCAAAAAGGACCUUCCUAAAGGAAAACCUUCUAAAAAGCACAACUGAAUAAAAGACAGUUAAUAUAACAUAAUUCCUAGCCUUUCUACAUAUACAAAUGACAGGACAUAAGUGACUACUGUGUGUAUAUUUUAUUUUUACUUGAGGCCUAAUUGGUUGAUAACCAGAUGAAGAAGACAUUAUAAAUGUGAUUACCUGUGUGUUAUAUUCUGUUGUUUUCCUUAUACAAAUCUGAGAAAUAUUGCCUUAAUAAAUUCACUUUACAUUC